GUUGAACAUCAGACUCAAUAACCUACAACUUAAAGAUUCAAAACCAGAUGCAAAACACAUAUUGGAACAACCGUGAGUAACACAGGAUCAAACACUUCUCCACUUGAUCUAAUGUACCACAUAUAGGCUUCUUCAAUUGAAGGAGGACUGACCAAAUAUUCUUACCAUAACAUGUUUGACUUUUCAUCUUAAAAGAUGUCAAGAGGAGAUACAUGAAUACUCUUUUCGGUGGCUGGAAGGCCAGGGACGGUAGAACUCAAAUUCAUAGUCUGCAACAUCACGUCUUUUUUGUUAACGAUGGAGUUCAGGCCAACUUGGGCACAACUUCAUUAUUCCACCAUGUACUUGGUACUUACCACCAGCACAAGUUUUAGUAACUUUGCCUACCAAGACAUAGCAAAUGGGAAUAAAUCACCUUGGUUCUCUUUUUAUCCCAACAACAACAUACCCAGUGUAAUUCCCGAGUGGUCAGGGAAGGGUGUGUUAUGUAUGUGCAGACCUUACCCCUAUCUUUGGGAGAAAAGGAGGCUAUUUCGG
rnacentral:misc_RNA from 1 species